rnacentral:tRNA from 1 species
AUUCAGAUAGUUUAAGUAAAAUAUUGAUUUGUGGUGUCAAAGAAAUAGUAAUUAUUCUGGGUU